GAUGAACGCUGGCGGCGUGCCUAAUACAUGCAAGUCGAGCGAAUGGAUUAAGAGCUUGCUCUUAUGAAGUUAGCGGCGGACGGGUGAGUAACACGUGGGUAACCUGCCCAUAAGACUGGGAUAACUCCGGGAAACCGGGGCUAAUACCGGAUGAUAUUUUGAACUGCAUGGUUCAAAAUUGAAAGGCGGCUUCGGCUGUCACUUAUGGAUGGACCCGCGUCGCAUUAGCUAGUUGGUGAGGUAACGGCUCACCAAGGCAACGAUGCGUAGCCGACCUGAGAGGGUGAUCGGCCACACUGGGACUGAGACACGGCCCAGACUCCUACGGGAGGCAGCAGUAGGGAAUCUUCCGCAAUGGACGAAAGUCUGACGGAGCAACGCCGCGUGAGUGAUGAAGGCUUUCGGGUCGUACAACUCUGUUGUUAGGGAAGAACAAGUGCUAGUUGAAUAAGCUGGCACCUUGACGGUACCUAACCAGAAAGCCACGGCUAACUACGUGCCAGCCGCCGCCGUAA
rnacentral:rRNA from 1 species